GGCACAGAUACUGCAUAUGCUAGGGCGGAGCUUCGGUCACGGUGUGGCCGGAGGAGUCGGUUCAGGGACCGACGUCGUCGCUUU
rfam:Xanthomonas campestris pv. campestris str. ATCC 33913, complete genome.